CGAACCCACCAAAAACUAUAAACGUUAAGUUGUACUUGAUUUAUAUAUUUGUAAAUGUAAUUACAUAUCUAUUUUAACGUUAGAACCAUAGAACUACAUACUGUAAAUGACCUUUGACUACGAGUCUCAUGUAAAUAUAUAUGUACGUACGUUCCAGUUUCUCCAACGACAGCUAAAACAUUGUCAUUACAAUUAUAUAGUUACACUUAAAAACCAAAUUUAAUAAGGGUCCAUUUGCUAUAAAAGAAUGUCACAUGUGGUACUAACUCAGUAAAUAAUGGAAGACAUAACUCUAUGUGGCUCCAUGUGUCCCAAUGUUCAUAAUUAUACACUACAAUGCCAAGAGUAUAGUUUCAGCCACUACCACUACAACUGAAUACUUCAAUGUUGACUAUUGUGGUUCUUUUAUAUAUACACAUUUUUAUUUUAAUGGGUAGAAAAUUGUUGAUAUUAUUAAUGAACCACUACAUAAUUG
rnacentral:lncRNA from 1 species